GUUGUAUGGUUAAGUGACUAAGCGUACACGGUGGAUGCCUUGGCAGUCAGAGGCGAUGAAAGACGUAGUAACUUGCGAUAAGCCCAGAUUAGGUAGUAACAACCAUUUGAGUCUGGGAUUUCUGAAUGGGGAAACCCACUUACAUAAGUAAGUAUCGCUGCGUGAAUACAUAGCGCAGCGAGGCGAACCGGGGGAACUGAAACAUCUAAGUACCCCGAGGAAAAGAAAUCAACCGAGAUUCCGAAAGUAGCGGCGAGCGAAAUUGGACUAGCCCUUAAGCUUUACACGCGUUAGACGAACGGUCUGGAAAGUCCGACGAUACAGGGUGAUAGUCCCGUAGUUGACGACGUGUGUUCAGUGAAAUCGAGUAGGGCGGGACACGUGAUAUCCUGUCUGAAUAUGGGGGGACCAUCCUCCAAGGCUAAAUACUACUGACUGACCGAUAGUGAACCAGUACCGUGAGGGAAAGGCGAAAAGAACCCCUGUGAGGGGAGUGAAAUAGAACCUGAAACCGUGUACGUACAAGCAGUAGGAGCACCUUCGUGGUGUGACUGCGUACCUUUUGUAUAAUGGGUCAGCGACUUAUAUUCAGUGGCAAGGUUAACCAUCUAGGGGAGCCGUAGGGAAACCGAGUCUUAACUGGGCGUUCAGUCUCUGGAUAUAGACCCGAAACCAGGUGAUCUAGCCAUGGGCAGGUUGAAGGUUGAGUAACAUCAACUGGAGGACCGAACCGACUAAUGUUGAAAAAUUAGCGGAUGACUUGUGGCUAGGGGUGAAAGGCCAAUCAAACCUGGAGAUAGCUGGUUCUCCCCGAAAGCUAUUUAGGUAGCGCCUCGGACGAAUACUACUGGGGGUAGAGCACUGUUAAGGCUAGGGGGUCAUCCCGACUUACCAACCCUUUGCAAACUCCGAAUACCAGUAAGUACUAUCCGGGAGACACACGGCGGGUGCUAACGUCCGUCGUGGAGAGGGAAACAACCCAGACCGCCAGCUAAGGUCCCAAAUUACUACUAAGUGGGAAACGAUGUGGGAAGGCUCAGACAGCCAGGAUGUUGGCUUAGAAGCAGCCAUCAUUUAAAGAAAGCGUAAUAGCUCACUGGUCGAGUCGGCCUGCGCGGAAGAUGUAACGGGGCUAAGUAGUAAACCGAAGCUGCGGCAAUGCACUUUGUGCAUUGGGUAGGGGAGCGUUCUGUAAGCGGUUGAAGGUGUGUGGUAACGCAUGCUGGACGUAUCAGAAGUGCGAAUGCUGACAUGAGUAACGAUAAAGGGGGUGAAAAACCUCCUCGCCGGAAGACCAAGGGUUCCUGUCCAACGUUAAUCGGGGCAGGGUAAGUCGACCCCUAAGGCGAGGCCGAAAGGCGUAGUCGAUGGGAAACGGGUUAAUAUUCCCGUACUUCUUACAAUUGCGAUGGGGGGACGGAGAAGGCUAGGUGGGCCUGGCGACGGUUGUCCAGGUUCAAGUGCGUAGGCUUAAGAGUUAGGUAAAUCCGGCUCUUUUUAAGGCUGAGACACGACGUCGAGCACCUACGGGUGUGAAGUCAUUGAUGCCAUGCUUCCAGGAAAAGCCUCUAAGCUUCAGAUUGUAAGGAAUCGUACCCCAAACCGACACAGGUGGUCGGGUAGAGAAUACCAAGGCGCUUGAGAGAACUCGGGUGAAGGAACUAGGCAAAAUGGUACCGUAACUUCGGGAGAAGGUACGCUCUCGACGGUGAAGUCCCUCGCGGAUGGAGCUAUUGAGAGUCGCAGAUACCAGGUGGCUGCAACUGUUUAUUAAAAACACAGCACUGUGCAAAAUCGUAAGAUGACGUAUACGGUGUGACGCCUGCCCGGUGCCGGAAGGUUAAUUGAUGGGGUUAGACUUCGGUCGAAGCUCUUGAUCGAAGCCCCGGUAAACGGCGGCCGUAACUAUAACGGUCCUAAGGUAGCGAAAUUCCUUGUCGGGUAAGUUCCGACCUGCACGAAUGGCGUAAUGAUGGCCACGCUGUCUCCACCCGAGACUCAGUGAAAUUGAAAUCGCUGUGAAGAUGCAGUGUACCCGCGGCUAGACGGAAAGACCCCGUGAACCUUUACUACAGCUUGGCACUGAACAUUGACCCUACAUGUGUAGGAUAGGUGGGAGGCUUUGAAGCACGUACGCCAGUAUGUGUGGAGCCGUCCUUGAAAUACCACCCUUGUAGUGUUGAUGUUCUAACGUCGACCCCUUAUCGGGGUUGCGGACAGUGCCUGGUGGGUAGUUUGACUGGGGCGGUCUCCUCCCAAAGAGUAACGGAGGAGCACGAAGGUGGGCUAAUCACGGUUGGACAUCGUGAGGUUAGUGCAAUGGCAUAAGCCCGCUUGACUGCGAGAAUGACAAUUCGAGCAGGUGCGAAAGCAGGUCAUAGUGAUCCGGUGGUUCUGAAUGGAAGGGCCAUCGCUCAACGGAUAAAAGGUACUCCGGGGAUAACAGGCUGAUACCGCCCAAGAGUUCAUAUCGACGGCGGUGUUUGGCACCUCGAUGUCGGCUCAUCACAUCCUGGGGCUGAAGUCGGUCCCAAGGGUAUGGCUGUUCGCCAUUUAAAGUGGUACGCGAGCUGGGUUUAGAACGUCGUGAGACAGUUCGGUCCCUAUCUGCCGUGGGCGUUGGAAGAUUGAAGGGGGCUGCUCCUAGUACGAGAGGACCGGAGUGGACGAACCUCUGGUGUUCGGGUUGUGUCGCCAGACGCAUUGCCCGGUAGCUAAGUUCGGAAUCGAUAACCGCUGAAAGCAUCUAAGCGGGAAGCGAGCCCUGAGAUGAGUCUUCCCUGAUACUUUAAGUAUCCUAAAGGGUUGUCGGAGACUACGACGUUGAUAGGUCAGGUGUGUAAGUGCUGUGAGGCAUUGAGCUAACUGAUACUAAUUGCCCGUGAGGCUUAACCAUACAACACCCAAGGGGUUU
rnacentral:rRNA from 1 species